CCUACGGGAGGCAGCAGUGAGGAAUAUUGGUCAAUGGGCUUACGCCUGAACCAGCCAAGUCGCGUGAGGGAAGACUGCCCUAUGGGUUGUAAACCUCUUUUGUCAGGGAGCAACGCCGGCUACGUGUAGCCGGACUGAGAGUACCUGACGAAAAAGCAUCGGCUAACUCCGUGCCAGCAGCCGCGGUAAUACGGAGGAUACGAGCGUUAUCCGGAUUUAUUGGGGUUAAAGGGUGCGUAGGCGGAAUGCCAAGUCAGCGGUAAAAUCGCGGGGCUAAACCUCGCUCCGAAGUUGAAACUGGCGUGCUGGAGUGGGCGAGAGGUAUGCGGAAUGCGUGGUGUAGCGGUGAAAUGCAUAGAUAUCACGCAGAACUACGAUGGCGAAGGCAGCAUACCGGCGCCCAACUGACGCUGAAGAACGAAAGCGUGGGUAGCGAACAGGAUUAGAUACCCUAGUAGUC
rnacentral:rRNA from 1 species